rnacentral:rRNA from 1 species
UCGAGAGGCUUCGGCAAUGGGGGAAACCCUGACCGAGCGACGCCGCGUGCAGGAUGAAGGCCCUUGGGUUGUAAACUGCUUUUGUUGGGGAAGAAAUGCGAUCAGGUGAAUAAUCUGGUCGUUUGACGGUACCCGACGAAUAAGCUCCGGCUAACUCCGUGCCAGCAGCCGCGGUAACACGGGGGGAGCAAGCGUUGUUCGGAAUCACUGGGCGUAAAGGGCGUGUAGGCGGUUAGGUAAGUGGGAUGUGAAAGCCCCCGGCUCACCCGGGGAUCUGCAUUCCAUACUGCCUGACUUGAGUAUGGGAGAGGAUAGGGGAAUUCCUGGUGUAGCGGUGAAAUGCGUAGAUAUCAGGAGGAACACCGGUGGCGAAGGCGCCUAUCUGGCCCAAUACUGACGCUGAGGCGCGAAAGCUAGGGGAGCAAACGGGAUUAGAUACCCCCGUAGUCC